rnacentral:pre_miRNA from 1 species
GGAUGAUGAUGAUGAUGAUGAUGAUGAUGAUGAUGAUGAUGAUGAUGAUCACCAUCAUCGUCGUCGUCAUCACCAUCACCACCACUA